rnacentral:rRNA from 1 species
UACGUAGGGACCAAGCGUUGUUCGGAUUUACUGGGCGUAAAGGGCGCGUAGGCGGUGCGGUAAGUCACUUGUGAAAUCUCCGAGCUUAACUCGGAACGGCCAAGUGAUACUGCAGUACUAGAGUGCGGAGGGGGCAAUCGGAAUUCUUGGUGUAGCGGUGAAAUGCGUAGAUAUCAAGAGGAACACCUGAGGUGAAGACGGGUUGCUGGGCCGACACUGACGCUGAGGAGCGAAAGCAUGGGUAGCGAACAGG